rnacentral:lncRNA from 1 species
CAUUAACUAAUAACUAAAACCAUCCAACACCUUACCCAAAAAAAAAGUCCAUCCAACAAAAUAGUACAUCAGUAACUAAAUCCAACAAAAUAGUAACAAACUACAAUUUGCCCAUUCUCUAUUUGAUAGUUUGGUAAGUUACUCAAAUGCAGAUGGUCCAAUUUCUUAAAAGCUAUCUCAGAAGAAGCAUCAUUCUCAUCAUCACUUUCAAUUAUUUCUUCUAUCUUUCACAACCAAUUAUGCACAACUUUGAUAGUUAUUUCAGAAUGCCCAGCGCAUUCGCUUCCACUCGAGAAAAUAUAAGUGAAGGAACUACCUUUCAAAAAUAAACAAACUACUAAUAAACAAUAGUACAAACUAAUAAAAUGAGCUUUGUGAAAGGUGAAGGAAUGCAAAGGAGUAUGAAGAGGAAAAAAGUCCCACGUUGCUUAGUUUCACAAGUUUUAAAGUUUGAGAACACUAUAAAUAAGUGCACACUUUCUCUUGUUACGCGAUUUUUAGUGAAUUCUUCAUGAAUUUGCAUGUACCGAAUUCGAAAAAGCAUUGUGAACCGGUUCGCGGUCUGUUAAGUGAAUUAUGUGACUAUGGUAUCAACAUAAUGAUUUCAUUUACUUCAAUUUUCAUUAACAUAUUUAUUUGUUUGUAGCUAUAACAUAUUUUCAUUAACUGGAUUCAUAUAUGGAUAUUGAUUCACUUGUGAACAUUACGAAUUCAUUUCUAUUAAUUAUGUGAGUUUGUGUUACAUUUAAUUUUCGUGUUUCGCUUUUUCACCGCUAGUCUAAUGAGUACUUUAUUUUUUUAACAUUAGAUUGUAACUUCAAGCACAUUGGGCACUAUCAAUGCUACAUAUCAAUGCUACAUGGAAGUGGGAAAGCAUUUGAUAUUGCACGACACGGAUAAGCUAAGCAGCCUUGGUUACAGGAUGAUGGAUAUUAGACAAUCAGUUAGAUUACUUACUGUGAUCUAAAAAUUUUGCCAUUUUCUUAGAUGUUGUUUUGAUGUGAGCCAGAGCAUUUGAUCUUUGUGCAACAAGCAACUGUUUUGUCUUUUUAAUUUUUCUAAUAAUAUCAUGUUAUUCUUUUAUUUAUUUUUUUUAAAAUAUCAAAUAGUCUACACCACACCGGUACUUUGACACGAAUACAUCAAAACAUAAACAGGAGUAGUACCGGUAUCAUUCGGAUUUGGAUCAGCUGAAGUAACCACUACCCACAAAAUGGUAGCUGCACAUAGGGGUGCUCGCGGUUCGGUUUGGAUCGGUUUUGAGGUAAAAAUUCAUCCGAUCCAAAAAUAAAUUCAUUUGCGGUUUGGUUCGGUUUUGGAUGACAAAUAAAAAAGAUCUGAUCUAAUCCGAUCCAAUAUUAUGCGGUUUAAUUUGGAUCGGUUUUUGGAUAUCCAAAUUUUAAAUUGUAAUUUUUUUUAAUAAAUAUGAAUAUUAUAAAAAACGCUACAAAAUAAUAGUUUGACAUUUUUNNNNNNNNNNNNNNNNNNNNNNNNNNNNNNNNNAAUAGAUUAAAUUAAACUAACAUAUAGUAUUAACAAAAUUUAAAAUGAAAAAAAAAGGUUAAUGCAAUAUAUAUAUUUAUACUAAUAAAAAGAUAAAUAAAUAUUAAAAUAUAUGUAUGCGGUUUGGUUCGAUUUUAAGAAAUCAAUCCGAAAUCCGAUCCGAUCCAGNNNNNNNNNNNNNNNCCAGCGGUUUUCACAAAAGAACAUCCAAACACAUCCAAAAAACUUCGGUUUUUUGCGGUUUUCGGUUUUUUUGGAUCGGUUUUCGGUUUUUAUUUGGAUUGGUUUGGAUUUGAGCACCCCUAGCUGCACACAACAGAUCAGAAACUCCUGAUAAAAUAACUAAUUUUAUAUAGAUUAUAAUCUUGGCCAUUCAUUUCGGAUCGGGGUUAGAAACAGUUACAGCGUUGAUGCAAUAACUGCAUCAAAUCCAAUUCCGUAUCAUACUCCAAGACUGCUGCUCAACACGGAACUAUAAGGACCAAAGUCACCAAACUGGACCACAACGUUACUAUGACUCUGUUUGGUAACACAAAUAAGCUAGCUUAUAGCUUAUUAUAUGAGCUUAUAAGCUUGUUUCAAAAAAUUAGAGGUGUUUGGUAACAAGCUUUUUGUACUAGNNNNNNNNNNNNNNNNNNNNNNNNNNNNNNNNNNNNNNNNNNNNNNNNNNNNNNNNNNNNCAGCUAUCAGCUAGCUUAUAGCUUAUUUUUACCAAACAGACCCUAUAUAUACCAUUUUUGACCUAUUUUCUACUAUGGUAUUAUAUAUGCUGUUUGCCUAAGGUAUUAUCUCCUAUUUUCUACUAUUGCAAUAGUUACUAUAUCUCCAAAUUUGGACCAAACUGGACCACAACGUUACUAUAUAUGCAACGUUACUAUAUAUACCUAUUUUUAUGUUGCUUUUUUGUCACUAAUAUCUCAGCUGCAGCUCUACAAAUCAGUGAAAUAAACUUUUCAUGCAAGGCCGAUUCACCUCCUUAAUGUGAAACCUAUGUGACAUAUUUUGCCAAAUCUCCAAAUUUCUUGAGCCUAACAAACAUAUCUGAUAUAUUUGAUAUGAGUCCUUUAUCCAUUGCAAAAGCUGAUUCCAAGCCAAGCCUUUCCUUACUAGUACCUGUAACUUGCGGUUGUGCUAGAAAUCGCUAUUUCGCAAAUUUGACUUAUACAAUCAAGCUAGGUGACAGCUACUUCAUAGUUUCAACCACUCAAUACCAGAAUCUCACCAAUUAUAAGGAAAUGGAAGAUUUCAACCCAAAUCUAAGUCCAAAUCUAUUGCCACUAGAAAUCAGUUGAACAAAGGAAUAAAGUAUUUGAUUACUUAUGGCAUCACAAGCGGACAUGUUUGCCGAGAAUAGUCACAAGUUUUUAGAAAAAAUUUACGGUCACAAGUGUUCCAGUAAACAAAAAAAAUUCUAGAAAAAUUUUAUAUACCUGAACACUUUUUCCAAAGUGUUCCGGUAACUAAAAAAAAAUAGAAAAUUUUACAUACUUGAACACUUUUUUCCAAAGUGUUCCAGUAACCAAAAAAAAAUUUAGAAAAUUUUUACAUACCUGAACACUUUUUUUCGAAGUGUUCUGGUAACCGACAAACCGGAAAAGUGGAAGAGUUUACCGGUGUACAACAUCCUCCGGAAAAGUCAGAAAAUGACAAAAUAAUAAUGAUAAAAAAUAAUAUAGUAAAAUAAGGGCAGAAUGAGAAUAUUUUAAAAUAUGUAUAGGGGUAAAUAGUUAAAUGUUAGGGUAGAAAAAAAAAUUCUCAUUCAGCAAACUUCACGCAUUUGGGCUGACCUGCACUUUAUUGGAUCAGGUUCUAUGUCCCCCAAUGAUUUCUCUUGUAAUUUCUUUUUCCUUUUAUUAAAUAUUGUUAUUAUGGGAAUAUGGUAGACGAUGAGGGUUUUUGGAAGUGCCCAGACCGGUAUUCCUAAAGAUCACUAUUCUUUUAACUUAGGAAAAAAAAAGUUAAAUAAUUUAUUUUAGAGUAUAAAAGACAAAAAGAAAUAUAAAUUGAAGUGUAAAACAAAUAAAAAGUACUAUAACAAUGUUAUGAUAUAAUUAUAAAAUUAUAGGCUACAAGUAACAAUUUUUAUUUAACUCAACUAUCAAAUACAGUAUAGUCUUAUAGGUGGUGCUGGAAAGGAUAUGUAAAGUGAAUAAAAAAUUGGAGGUCAUGAUAAUACCCCCAAAGUUUAUAGAGAAUAAGAAAGAUCUGAAUAAUUUGUUCUCUUUCCCUUAUUUAAUUUCUUUACCCUAUAUAAUAGCCUAUAUAUCUUGAAAACUACAAACUCAAUAAAAUUAGAAAAUGAAAAAAUAAAUGAAAUUAUUAAGUCCCAGCAUAAUAAAUUAAUGAUGGCUCAUGGAGUAAUAGUAUAGUGGAAGAGAUUACUAGUACCAGAACCCAUUCUUUGUCUCUUCGUCUCUUUCUCGGUGUCGUGUCUCGAACCGAAAACCUCUAAGUUGAAGAACGAAUUCUCAACCAAAUGACCUCUUAGAAAUACUCAUAGAAAAAGUGACAUCAUACGAACGCAUUCACAACUUUUGUUAAUACAUCUCACAAUUUUUGGAUAAUUGCACAUACUUCUUAGACAGUCGGAAUCAUGUUCACAUAUCUUUAAGAAAGCUUUAACUAAUAAUAUGGAUACAAAAAAAAAUGUUAAUAAUAUGGAUACAAAAUAUUGUUUGAAUUAAAUAAGAAAAUCUGUAAAUGAUGAAACAAUGGCUUACCGGUUGGCUUUUCGUCAAUGUCCACCACAAUAAGAAAUAUAAAAAGAAAGAUGAUUACGGUAUAAUUUUUUUUGAGAAUUUUAGCCAUAUUUUUCGGAUUUGUAUAUAACUAAUACAAUAUAAUUUAAUUGUUAUAUAAUGUACAAAUCUCAAACACACUUUACAUCGAUUAAAUAUUUUUUAGCUCUAAGAGAAAUUAUAAAUAUUUAUUCAUAUAACAUGAAUCAUUGUUAAAUAUUCUUUACGUAUAUCAACAUAUUGUGUUUGCCCUUUGGCAACCUUAGUUAGUAAAUCAAAUAAGAA